rnacentral:rRNA from 1 species
AUGCCAGGGGGCCAUCUAGUAGCGUACCUCAGUGAGAGCUUGGCCCCAAAGAAUCUAGGAUCGUCGGCAUACGAGAAAGAGUGCUUAGCCCUUCUGAUCGUAGUUGAUCAUUGGCGUCCAUACCUACAACACUCAGAAUUUGUCAUCCGUACGGAUCAGCGGAGCUUACUCAAUUUGACGGAUCAAUGUCCUAACACUCCAAUUCAAAAGAGAGCCUUCACAAAGCUAGUGGGACUCAGAUUCCAAAUCCAAUACAAGGCUGGGAUAACUAAUCGGGCAGCAGAUGCCUUAUCCAGACAAGAUCCAGACGUGGAUGCAGAGUUAGCGGCUCUAUCUGUUGGCAGACUAGCAUGGCUAGAAGCAAUCACGGCUAGUUAUCAUCAAGAUGCACAUGCUCAGCAGCUUAUGACCAAAUUAGCUCUGGACCCUCAUUGUGAAGAAGGUUUUGCCCUACAUGAUGGAGUCAUCAAGUACCAAGGACAUAUCUGGAUUGGGCCCGAUACCGAUACACAGCAGUCCUUGGUCACUGCACUCCAUGAUAGUGCAGCGGGGGAGGGGGGCACUCAGGAUUCCAUGCUACCUAUAAUCGAGUCCGCGGGUUAUUUGCAUGGAAGGGACUGA